rnacentral:sRNA from 1 species
AGGCCGAGAUGGCCCAGAACUCUGUGCGUCUCAACUAUGGCAUCCCGGCCAUCGUGAAGCUGCUCAACCAGCCCAACCAGUGGCCACUGGUCAAGGCAACCAUUGGCUUGAUAAGGAAUCUGGCCCUGUGCCCAGCCAACCAUGCCCCACUGCAGGAGGCAGCGGUCAUCCCCCGCCUUGUCCAACUGCUGGUCAAGGCCCACCAGGAUGCCCAGCGCCACGUAGCUGCAGGCACACAGCAGCCCUACACGGAUGGUGUGAGGAUGGAGGAGAUUGUGGAGGGCUGCACCGGAGCCCUGCACAUCCUCGCCCGGGACCCCAUGAACCGCAUGGAGAUCUUCCGGCUCAACACCAUUCCUCUGUUUGUGCAGGUGAGUCUGGGGCAGGUGGGCAGAAGAGGUCCCCCCACCACUGCUUAGAGGGCAAGGUUAGGAGUCCGAGAUUUGGGAGAACUGGACCAGGCAUCAAGAGGUCUUUGGAGGAGUUUGGAGGAAAGUUGCCACUCCAGAUUGACUACUUAGCAACCCCCUGCAUGGACAUGGCUUUCUAAGCUUCAAAGCAGGGAAAGAGAUCACAAAUGGAAAAAAAAAACAAAAC